UACAGAGGGGGCGAGCGUUGUUCGGAAUUACUGGGCGUAAAGGGCGCGUAGGCGGCCUCUUAAGUCGAACGUGAAAUCCCUCGGCUUAACCGGGGGAACUGCAUCUGAUACUGGAUGGCUUGAGUUCGGGGAGAGGGAUGCGGAAUUCCAGGUGUAGCGGUGAAAUGCGUAGAUAUCUGGAGGAACACCGGUGGCGAAGGCGGCAUCCUGGACCGACACUGACGCUGAGGAGCGAAAGCCAGGGGAGCAAACGGG
rnacentral:rRNA from 1 species